rnacentral:rRNA from 1 species
AUACGUAGGUGGCAAGCGUUGUCCGGAAUUAUUGGGCGUAAAGCGCGCGCAGGCGGUCCUUUAAGUCUGAUGUGAAAGCCCACGGCUCAACCGUGGAGGGUCAUUGGAAACUGGGGGGCUUGAGUGCAGAAGAGGAACGUGGAAUUCCAAGUGUAGCGGUGAAAUGCGUAGAGAUUUGGAGGAACACCAGUGGCGAAGGCGACUUUCUGGUCUGUAACUGACGCUGAGGCGCGAAAGCGUGGGGAGCAAACAGGAUUAGAUACCCUGGUAGUCCACGCCGUAAACGAUGAGUGCUAAGUGUUAGGGGGUUUCCGCCCCUUAGUGCUGCAGCUAACGCAUUAAGCACUCCGCCUGGGGAGUACGGUCGCAAGACUGAAACUCAAAUGAAUUGGCGGGG